rnacentral:rRNA from 1 species
GAUGAACGCUGGCGGCGUGCCUAAUACAUGCAAGUCGAGCGAACGGACGAGAAGCUUGCUUCUCUGAUGUUAGCGGCGGACGGGUGAGUAACACGUGGAUGACCUACCUAUAAGACUGGGAUAACUUCGGGAAACCGGAGCUAAUACCGGAUAAUAUUUUGAACCGCAUGGUUCAAAAGUGAAAGACGGUCUUGCUGUCACUUAUAGAUGGAUCCGCGCUGCAUUAGCUAGUUGGUAAGGUAACGGCUUACCAAGGCAACGAUGCAUAGCCGACCUGAGAGGGUGAUCGGCCACACUGGAACUGAGACACGGUCCAGACUCCUACGGGAGGCAGCAGUAGGGAAUCUUCCGCAACGGGCGAAAGCCUGACGGAGCAACGCCGCGUGAGUGAUGAAGGUCUUCGGAUCGUAAAACUCUGUUAUUAGGGAAGAACAUAUGUGUAAGUAACUGUGCACAUCUUGACGGUACCUAAUCAGAAAGCCACGGCUAACUACGUG